rnacentral:lncRNA from 1 species
CCUGUCUUUAUGCGCCUUCCAUAUUCCAUCAUAGACAGCAAGUCUGGGCAGAUAUCAGACAGAUUCGAACUUCAAGUUCCUUUCCAUGGGUGUGUAUUGGCGAUUAUAAUGAUAUCCUUUAUCACUGGGAAAAGCAGGGCAAACGAAUUAUUGAGGCAUAUAGAUUAAAUUCCUUUCGAGAGUUUGUGAAUGAUUGUCAGUUUAUGGACAUUGAAAGUAAAGGCUGCUUUUAUACAUGGGUAAACAAAAGAGAUGGUGCUGAAGCCAUUAAAGAAAGGCUAGAUAGGGCCUUAUGCACCAUUGAGUGGAGGUUAUCUUACCCGGGGGCAGAAGUCUUCGCUUUUCCUCCUUUAGCCUCUGAUCAUAGUCCUCUGCUCUUACUCACUGAACCGCACUCUUUUAAAAGGAAGAAAACUUUCUGUUUUGAAGCUUUCUGGCUGCAAGAGAAAGAUUGUCAAUCAAUCAUCAACAAUGUAUGGACUUCAUCAGCAAUGCGACCUCAAUCAUUAACUAACAAGCUACAACGUACUUCAUUUGCUCUUGCCAAGUGGAGUAAAUCCCUUCAGAAUCACAGUAACAACCAGCAGCAAGUCUACCUG